rnacentral:lncRNA from 1 species
CACCUGGCAAGAGAAUGCCCUUAAAAGGGGAUAUUUUGUAUCCACUUCCUCUCUUUUCCUACAGGAUAGAAGGUGGAUGUUGCAGGGAGACUGUUCUGACCACGUGGCUUGAUUAGAGUUCCCUGAGGGAUGUCAGAACAAUGGAGCAGGAGGCAUCCGAGGCCCUGGAUGACUUCAUGGAGUGGAGCUACUCACCCUCUCCGAACCACUUGUCUACUUCCAGAAAGCGAUGUCAAAGAGAAGAUAGGCCUGCCUGGAUGAUCAAAACAGAUGGAAAAGAGGCAUAUGGGGCAAUAAUCCUGUUCCUUCGCCUCCUGUCAACUGGAAACUUCACAAGGGAAAAGAAAAAAGAAAAAAAAUGCUGCUAGAUCUUCAACUGUAAGUUUCAUGGGUCUAUUUAUUUUAAAACUGACAUUUCAAGUAUGGCUGUAUUGCUUAGUAUAUUAUUUCAGCAUAUCUGUAUCUAUGUUACUAGAUAAUGCAACUGUCUUUGAUACUUUGUACAAGUAAUACAAUAUUUUUGUCAAUGCAUGGUGGUAGAGUGUUCAGAGGUAAUUGGCAUCUGAGAAAGUGUCUUUAAAAACCUAAUGACCGUCUAAGUCUUGUUGGCAUUUUUCUUUACUUGUGUCAAGGGGAAAUCCCUCAGAAGGGGCACAGCAAACAUAUAAAAAUUUUAUUAUAAAGCUGCCAGCAUUUGACCUUAGAGCAGGUCCAAUUGACAAAGAAUCUGCAGGAUAUGAAACAUUCUCAUUAUGAUGUCAUGGCAACAUUACUCAAGUUAUUAAUUCUCCAAGUGGGAUGAUGGAUGUUAUAGGGUGGUGAGGUCCUUGGCAGAACAUAUUGCUUAAUUAUCUUCUUUUAGUACCAGCAGACAGUCAUAUGCCUAUGAUCAAGUACCAUUCCAGUGAAUAUGAAACGAAUUCAUAAGGAGAGAAUAUUUAAAGAUCUUAUCCAAUAAAAGACCAGAUUAAAUGUCA